UAGCAGGCAAACUCAUAGCGGGCCUUGUGUGUGUUUUGAUGACGCUAUGGCAGAGUAUCCAUCCCCAGCGAGAUGAACGAAAUCCGCAUUCCUCAUUUGCCAACAACUGGGCACAAGACUAGCAAACAGAAGCAAAGGGAGACAACCUCAGGCAGCGGAAAGAAUUCAGUAGUGAUGGAAAGUUUCUCCUCUACAGAUUUGCAGCUGAGUACCUUCAGUAGUACAGUGGACAUUCACUACAUGCCUCCUGAUGACACUUUCAAGUGAGAGUAUUGUCACGACCCAUCGAUAUGGAGAAUCACUCUGAGGGCCGUUGGCAGCGGGCGGAAGCCAGAGGAAUGCAGUCAAAUCAGAUUAAGGAGCUGAAAUAUAGUGUGUGCGGUGGCACAGCGCACGUGGUGGCGUGACGUCACUCCAGGAGGCGUGGUUAAGUGCCCUCUACGGAGGGGUCAAUUGGGUUGACAUCAUGUGGCUGACUUGGGCACUGAAGAAUCUAUCCAUCCAUUUUCUAUCGUGCUUGUGGUGAUUAAGGUGAGCCUAUCCAAGCUGACUUUGGGAGGGAGUUCGGGCAGACCUUGGACUGGUCGCUAACUAAUCAUAGGGCGCAUGUACGGUAUAAAACUAUUCAAGCCUAUGGUGAAUUUGCAGUCUUUAAAGCACACACCCUACUGAUGAAUGGAUGGAUGGAUGGAUGGAAUGCAGCAAAGUAACCUCAACCACAAUACAACAUCGGAUUACAUUUUUGAUUAGCUUGUAAAUGUCCAGUUCUUAGGGUGUGGGGAUAGGGGAACCGAUGCAGUAUUUCAAAGUUUUGGCGAACGGGAGCAGUGAAAAAAAAAAAAAACACAGAGUAAGAGAGAGAUGAGAAACCUAAGUAAACAGGGCCUCGUCGGCUACAACACGUCCUCCAGAG